AUGAUCUUUCAAAUUAAGAAGCAGCAUUACACUCAUGAGAAUCACACAAGGAUGAGGAGAGAAGAAAGACAUUUCCAUUUAAGGAUCGUGUACUGUGCGCUCUUAGUUGGAGACCUAACCUUCCUGCUUACCCAUUACAUCAACGCCGCAAACCCGCUUUACCUCAAAGAAUGGUACCAUUGUCUACCCUCACCUCGGUGCCUCCACAUCUGUUGCUUCGAGACAUUUUACAAAAGAAGAUAUUGGAAUGACCCAAAUAAGCACAGGGGAAGAAUCAAAACUCAACAUGAUUAUUCAUCGGGGAAAUGCAAAUCAAAAGCACAGUGAGUUACUACUAAACACCCACUAGAAUAACUAAAAAUUUUAAAGACUGAAUAAAUCUAGGUGUGGGUAAGGAUACAGAACAACUGAAAUGAGUCUCCUUCCUUGCUGAUGAGAUUAUAAGAUGAUACAACCAUGUUGGAAAACACUUUGGUGACUUCUUAUAAAAUUAAACAACUACCUUAUGACCCAACAAUUCCAUUUCUGAGUGUUGACCCAGGGGAGUAAGAACAUGUCUACAAAAGACUUGCACAUUAAUGUUUAUAGCAGCUUUAUUCAUAACAGCCGCAAGUGAAAACAAUUCACAAGUCCAUCAACAGCUGAAGAGAUAAACCGAUUGUUGUACUUCCAUACAUUGGAACUUCCAUACAACUACUCAGCAUUAUAAAGAAACAAAGUGGUGAUGUACAAAAUAUGGACAGAUCUCAAAAACAUCCUGAGCAAGAGAUGCUAGGCGCAUGAGAAUAUAUACUAUAUGAUUCCAUUUAUGUGAUGUUCUAGAACAUACAAAACUAAUUUACAGUGGCAGAAAUCAGAUUAGUGACUAUCUAGAGUAGGGAGUGCAAAGAGUAGGAGGACUGACUACAAAAGGGCAAGAGGGAACUUUGGGGGAGCAAUGAAAAUGUUCUUUAUACAUAUAUAUUGAUUGGAGUUGGGUUACAUUACAUAUCUAUACAUUUAUCAAAACUCAUCAAACUGAAUAAAUGUCCAUCCAUAGAUGAAUGGAUAAAGAAGAUGUGGUACCGAUAUACGAUGGAAUAUUAUGCAGCCAUAAAAAAGGGUGAGAUUGUGCCCUUUGUGACAACAUGGAUGGACCUAGAAUGUAUUAUGUUAAGUGAAAUAAGUCAGACUGAGAAAUACGAAUACCAUAUGAUUUCACUUACAUGUGGAAUCUAAAAAAAUGGAUAAACAAAAAGCAGAAUCAGAACUAUAACUACAGAGAACAAACUGAUGGUUGUCAAAAGGGUGGGGGUGGGGGCAUGGACAAAAUGGGUGAAGGGGAGUGAGAGAUACAGGCUUCUAGUUAUGGAAUGAGAGAGUCAUGGGAAUGAGUUCAUAAGAAAUAUAGUCAAUGAUAUUGUAAUAGCACUGUAUGGUGACAGAUAGUAGCUACACUCCUGGUGAACAUAGCAUAAUGUAUAACUACGUUGCACCCCUAAAACUAAUGUAACAUUGUGUCUCAACUAUACUCAAAUAAAAAAAAUUUAAUGUUUCCAUUUGUAAUUUGUAAUUCCAAUCUGUAAUUCCAUUUAUGUAAAUUACACCUCAAUAAAGUUGAUUAAAAACCACAAAAUGAAUUCAAAGACUUCAGUUCUGGAAUUUGUGGGCUUUAGCUACAAAGACCCAAGUAAGGCAUUUUGCCAAGGAUAGCACAAUCAAAUAUACUUUUCCCCUUUUUUGCCCCCUAAUUUAGUAGAUCAGUUUUAAGUAAUGUUAACCCUUCUUAUGAAAUAGUCUUAGCCUAUAUGGAACAAGAUGAAUGGGUUUUGCUGACUUCCAAAAACUGAAUUAUUACAUAGGUACAAGAAAAU
ensembl:lncRNA